UCCCGACUGAGCAGCGGAUGUCGGUGCCCCUGGGGCCUGGAGAGCUGUCCUCAAGCCCACACCCCUGACACCAUGGUGGGCAAGAUGCUGGGGUCCCCCGCUGGGGAGCUGGGGGGACAGGGGACCAAGCUCCACGUGAGGAGCUGCUCUGGGCGUCGGCACCCCUUCUAAGCCAAGUCUGCCUCCGUGGGACGGGAGCUCAGCACCGCACUCCUGACGGGCUCUUUGGAGUGACCACGUGCCCAGGAGGGGCCCCAGAAGGCCACCGGAGCCAGGCUGAGUUCUAGACCGAGUGGGGAGCCUGCCGGGCUUACAACGCAGGACAAUAGACCAGAAGGCUCUAGCUGAGCGCAGGCGGCAGCUUCUAGGAAAACAUCUUCCCCGGCGCUGAGCAGGGGUGCAGGCUGAUAGAGGGGAGGCCGUGCGGAGUAAAGUGAGUAUCGUAUACGCCCUGCCUACUUCACAAAGGUGCUCAAAGAAUCCACUCCGAUGACGACCCCAAAGAUACCAGGUCCUAGUCCUUGGAACCUGUGAAUGGGACCCAAUAUGGCAAAACAGACGGUGCCGGUGUGAUUAGGACAUCUGGGGUUAUCCGGACAAGCCCUUAAUGGCACAGCAAGUCCCCUUAUAACAGGGAGGCAGGAGAUGUGGCCGAAAGAAAGCAAGAGGGAUGCGGCCAGAAGCCAAGGAAUGCUAACAGCCACCUGAGCCAGCAAAGGCGAGAUGUGGCUUCUCCCUGGAGCCUCGGGAAGGAAUCAGCCCUGAGACACCUUGAUUUUAGCUCCAGUAAGACUCGGGUCAGACUUCUCGCCUCCAGAAUGGCCGGAGAAUACAUUUUCGUUUGUUAGGCCA